UGCCUCCACCUCCAGAAGUGCUGGGAUUACAGGUGUGAGCCACUGCACCCGGCCCUCCUGUGGUAUUAUCUGAAGGCCAGAGUGACAGGACUUGUCUUCAGACCCCAAGUAUAAAACCUUCCCAGCAGCUAGAACGCUCCUGGGCUCAGGGUGAUGGAAGAAUAUUCAGCUACCAUUUUCACUCCCAGUCUCCAGGGUCUCUUCCUGUGGGCCAAGGGUGAGGCAGGGUUGGGACGGGGGUUGAUGGGGCCUAGGGCAGGUAUGGGUCUUCAGCCCUGCCCUGCUCACAGCUACCCGCCCCCAUGGAAAAUCUCAGAGAGGAGAAGGGGAAGGGUGUCAGUCUAGAACCUGCUGGUCUCAAGCCCAUCGUUUCUUGCUGGCACAGCCCCAGUGUCCCGCCUACCAAGAGGGCAGGAGCCAGAAGCAUGGUGCUCCUCUUUCCUGCCCACAGGAUAUCUAAUCUGGAGGUAUCAGCUCCUGGGCUUCUGGAACUUACCUGGAGCUGUGAUGUCCAUGGCAGGGCUCUAGGUUUGGAUCAGAGACCCUUAGGCCAGGCAAGCAGCCCCUGACCUUCCCCUGCCAUCAGAAAGGCCCCGUCCAACUCCUUCACCCCACCGUCCCCACUCCCAGGCCUGCCUCUGCCCAAGGUCUGGGUGGGGAUGCUGGGCAUAGUAGCUGGCCUCCAAGAUGGCCCCCAGUCAUCUUUACCUCCUGGUUUCCACCCACUUAUGCAGUUCCCUCCCAUGUCAAAUCAGAGCUGGGCCGUAUCACACCAGAGCAUGGUGGAGGCAAUGGCGUGUAAAUUCUGUGGCUAGGAAUAAAAAUAACACUUUGGUUUCUAACCUGGACCCUUGAAUCUCUUGCUCUGGGGGAAGCUGGGCGCCAUAUUGUGAGGACACUCAAGCAGCCCCGUGGGUUGGCCCACGUGGGGAAGGACUGAGGCCUCCUGCCUACAGCCAGGCCUCACUUAGAAGUGCAUCCUUCAGUCCUUAGCUAAGAUUUCAGACAACGGCAACCUCAUGAGUGACUCUGAGCCAGAAUCGCUCAGCCAAACUUCUUGAAUUCCUGACCCACAGAAAAUGUGAUCUAUAAAUAAUGAUCAUGUUAAGCCGCUAAGUUUGGAGGCAACUUGUUAUACAGCACCAGGUAACUAAUACAACCCCUCUGGCUCUGGGGACCCUUCCUCAGUUUCUGGGUGUUUUUCUACCCGCCUCUAGCCCCUGGCCUGUGUUCCCCCGACCACAGUGUGGAGGAGAAAGCGAUGAGACCAGGUUCUGGCUAGAUCAGCAAAAAACCAGACAGGCACCAGCCAGCAUCUUUUUUUCUUUUCAUUUUAAUUAACACUUUACAAAGUACAAAAUAUACUGUCUUUUUUGGGGGAACAUUAGGUAAUUUUUUUCUCUCCAACAUACAGUACAUGAAUCUCGAGGGUUUUGUGUUUCUUCAACAAGAAAAUAAGCUUGAGGGCCCCGGGGGGGUAGGGAUAAGAUGGCAGGUUCUCCCCUUCACCCAGAUCUUGGGACCGAUGAAACACCGCUGCUGCUGCUGGUGACCCGGGCACGCCAGUUGAGGGCUGGAGGGGGCCAUGGGCAGGAAGUCCCCUGCCCCCACUACGAUGGGGGAGCUCUGGGCAGGGCAGAGGCCCCUCAGUACACCAUCCAUCCACUCACCCCCAUCUCAGGAUAACGGAAAUGAUUUUGGCAUAGAGAAAGAGGAGGGCUUGGGGCUGUUAUCAGCUCCCUACUCUUUUAGAGGGAACUCUGCUCAACUCUUCCUAGACCGUCUUCUGAAUACAGGUAAAAUGAGGCAGUGGAAGGGAAACCGCACUGGCCUUGGCCUGUCUUGGGACCUGAACUUGGCCUGCUGUUCACUCUGCCACCUCCAAAGUUGGGUGAGGGGCAGGGUCUCCAAUUCUUCUGGACCUUCUUCCAGAAUGAGCCCCAGUAGAUGAGGGAGCACCGGCCCCCACAAACCCUCCCUGUGAACACCAUCUUCAGGAUGGGAUGCCUUUGAAGAGUCAGCAUGGGCAGCCCCAGCCCCUUCCAAUCAGAGCUGGGCUGUAUCACACCAGAGCAUGGUGGAGGCAACAGAGUGUGAAUUCUGAGGCUAGGGAUAAAAAUAACACUUUGGCUUUUUACCCUGGGCCCUUGAAUCUCUUGCUCUGGGGGGAAGCCGAGCGCCAUAUUGUGAGGACACUCAAGCAGCCGCGUGGGUUGGCCCACCUGGGAAAGAACUGAGGCCUCCUGCCUACAGCCAGGCCUCAGUUAGAAGUGCAUCCUCCAAUCCUUAGCUAAGAUUUCAGACAACAGCAACCUCAUGAGCGACCCUGAGCCAGAACUGCUCAAACUGUUCCUGACACCUUUGCCCACCUCCAGAGUAGUUCUGACAAGUGGGGUGAGGCCAUCCUACCAGAGACGCCCCACCCUCUCCCCUGGAGCCAGGGCCUGCAUUCGAGUCCUGCCCUCACUCACCUAAUCAUUUCUGCACUCGAGGCCUGACAGCAAGACUGCUACUGAGAACUCAAAAUACUCCAAGAGCCAGUCCCAUAUCUCAGGUGUGGGCCCUGCACACGUGCACGCACACACACUCUAAUGCAUAGGAACACAUCCACGCUCACACGUACAUGCACAUAUGUGUGCAUAAACACAUCUAGGCCUGCAUCCCCACUCCUAGCACACAGGCCACCCUGCACUUCCAAUUUCCAUACCUCCUCUUCCCUUGUAGCGACAGCCACAAGCUUUCUCGGCCACCAGGAUGUCCCUGGAUGCCAUGGCUGAGGCCUCAGACUCCUGCCUCUGCUCCAGGCUACUCCUGGCCUCAAGCUAUCCUCCCGCCUUGGUCUCCCAAACUGCUGGGAUGACAGGCCUAAGCCACCAAGCCCGGCCUCCUUUGAAUGGGCCCCUGCCAGGCCUAACCCCCUCCCUCAGCAUGGUAUCCAAAGCCAAUGUAUUUUCUCUGUUGGAGAAGCCCAUCGGCCUCACUCAGGCUCUGCCUAUUACACUAACCAAUGUCUCCAAUGCUCCAGGCCCUGCUCAGAGCGGGCUAGAAGGUUGGGGGUGCUUCUUCCCAUCCCCAUGCAAAGUGCUUCACUCAGGAAGUGGCGUCAAAAAUCCCAUUGGCCGGGCGGGGUGUCUCAUGCGUGUAAUCCCAGCACUUUGGGAGGCCAAGGUGGGCGGAUCACCUGAGGUCAGGAGUUUGAGAACAGCCUGGCCAACAUAGUGAAACCCUGUCUCUACUAAAAAUACAAAAAUUAGCCGAGUGUGGUGGGGGGUGCCUGUAAUCCCAGCUACUUGGGAGGCUGAGGCAGGAGAAUCGCUUGAACCUGGGAAGCAGAGGUUGCAGUGAGCCGAGAUUGCACCACUGCACUCCAGCCUGGGUGACAGAGACUCCGUCUCAAAAAAAAAAAAAAAAAAAGAUCCCCCCCAUUGCAGGGCUGAGGUGCUCUUGCCCUAAAGCCCCCUCUCUCUGCUGGGGCUUGGAAAAGCCCUGGUUGUCACCACAUCCAGAUCUCUAGGCUCAGAAAGGGGCCCAGGGUGGCCUUAGGACUCCCCAGGGUAUCCCUGGAAAAUGUGGCCAGGAGGAAGGGGCCGGUGGGAGGUGGCCAAUGUUCACAUUUGAAGAUCACCAAAUAGUGCCCUGGGCUUUAACAGGGGCCUGGCCCUUCGUGUCUUCCCAGUCUUCUCUCCUGACCUCCAGGGCAUCCUCUGUCACCUCAGAGGGGCAAGCCCCUCCAGACCAAGCCUCCUCCUGCUAAACAAAUGUCACCGUGGCUAUGCUGCUGCUUCCGGAGGCCACACUGGGAGCCUCUGAUCCCCCAGCUCCUUCCUUUCCCACCAGCGGCCUGGUGCUUGGAGGCACCUGCCCCAUCCGCCAGCGUCAAGACAACGGGCCCAGUCCUCUGAUUACCUCCGGGGGACAGACGGCAAACAGGUAAGGAGUUCCAUGCAACUGCGGAUGGAGCCCCUCGGAGAAACACACACUCCUCCAAGUGGGGUCUGGGGCCUGGAGAGACCCUCCCACCCAGCAGACCAAGAGAUGGCUGGGGGACAAGGGCAGACGGCCCCUGCCUGGGAAAAACCACACUCACACCCCACCCCGAAGAGCUGUGGAGACCAAACCAAGACUACGCUACACACAGAACGCCGAGAAGAUAAACCAAGCUUUACACGAGCAGGAUGGGGACGGGAAAACUAAAGGGGCCCCCUGUGACCGAGGAGCAGGGUCCCUGGGGGGCAGCUCCCACAGAGCGGGCUGGAACAGGGACCACCCCUGCAGAGCCAGCCAGGGCGGAGAGCCAUACCCUGGCCCCAGCGUGCCCCGACACGCAUGCUUUUCUCCAUGACACGAGGCCAGUCCCCAGGAGCAGCCCCGGGAGCAGAACCUGAGAUUUCUAAGCUUGCAGGUUACAAAAAACAAAACAAAACAAAAAAACAAGCCGCCUGCGUAAAAAGUGCCACCCACGGAGGCGGGAUGCAGGCAGCAUGUGGCCCAUUCAGCAGGCCCAGGUCUUCAGGGUGAGGCCGCUGGCGGGGGCAGGGGAGAGGGGGCAUUCUGGUUAAAAGCAAGAAAUUCCAAAUACUCCUCCCUCGGGAUCAAUGUCCCCCCAAAUAAAACAAGGGCACCCAGGGACCUUGGCUGGGGAAAGUGGGUUGCAGGAGGCAUGACCCACACCACAGCGGGCUCUCGGCACCCAUCCCACAUCCCAUGUCACGGGCUCUUUGAGCUGCUGGCUUUGUUCUCUCAAGUCAGGUCUGAGGGAACCCAUCGGCUUCUGUAAUAAUCGUAUUGCCUAUAUACUUGAAUUAAAAAUAUAUGGUGGCUCAAA